rnacentral:rRNA from 1 species
CACCAGUGGCGAAAGCGGCUCUCUGGUCUGUCACUGACGCUGAGGCUCGAAAGCGUGGGUAGCGAACAGGAUUAGAUACCCUGGUAGUNCACGCCGUAAACGAUGAGUGCUAGGUGUUAGGCCCUUUCCGGGGCUUAGUGCCGGAGCUAACGCAAUAAGCACUCCGCCUGGGGAGUACGACCGCAAGGUUGAAACUCAAAGGAAUUGACGGGGGCCCGCACAAGCGGUGGAGCAUGUGGUUUAAUUCGAAGCAACGCGAAGAACCUUACCAGGUCUUGACAUCCCGAUGCUAUUCUUAGAGAUAGGAAGUUACUUCGGUACAUCGGAGACAGGUGGUGCAUGGUUGUCGUCAGCUCGUGUCGUGAGAUGUUGGGUUAAGUCCCGCAACGAGCGCAACCCUUAUUGUUAGUUGCCAUCAUUAAGUUGGGCACUCUAGCGAGACUGCCGGUAAUAAACCGGAGGAAGGUGGGGAUGACGUCAAAUCAUCAUGCCCCUUAUGACCUGGGCUACACACGUGCUACAAUGGUCGGUACAACGAGUUGCGAGCCGGUGACGGCAAGCUAAUCUCUGAAAGCCGAUCUCAGUUCGGAUUGGAGGCUGCAACUCGCCUCCAUGAAGUCGGAAUCGCUAGUAAUCGCGGAUCAGCACGCCGCGGUGAAUACGUUCCCGGGCCUUGUACACACCGCCCGUCACACCACGAGAGUUUGUAACACCCGAAGUCGGUGAGGUANCCUUUUAGGG